ACUUCUAUACCACGCUGAACAUGCCUAUUCCUGUCUGAUUUUCGGAAGUAAGCAGAAUCAGAUCUGUUUGGUGUUUGAAUGGGAGACCACCAGUGAAUACCAAAAGUCUCAAGUC
rnacentral:rRNA from 1 species